CCUACGGGAGGCAGCAGUGAGGAAUAUUGGUCAAUGGGCGGAAGCCUGAACCAGCCAAGUAGCGUGCGGGAUGAAGGCCCUACGGGUCGUAAACCGCUUUUGCACGGGGAUAACACCCUCCACUUGUGGAGGUCUGCAGGUACCGUGCGAAUAAGGGACGGCUAAUUCCGUGCCAGCAGCCGCGGUAAGACGGAAGGCCCGAGCGUUAUCCGGAUUCAUUGGGCUUAAAGGGGGCGUAGGCGGGCGUUCAAGUCAGCUGUAAAAUCGCGCGGCUCAACCGCGCCCCGCAGUUGAAACUGGAGGCCUUGAGUUCACAAGAGGCAGGCGGAAUUCGUGGUGUAGCGGUGAAAUGCAUAGAUAUCACGAGGAACUCCGAUUGCGAAGGCAGCCUGCCGGGGUGCGACUGACGCUGAGGCUCGAAGGUGCGGGUAUCAAACAGGAUUAGAUACCCUAGUAGUC
rnacentral:rRNA from 1 species